ACAGCAGUCGCCACGGUAAUACGAAGGGUGCAAGCGUUACUCGGAAUUACUGGGCGUAAAGCGUGCGUAGGUGGUGGUUUAAGUCCGUUGUGAAAGCCCUGGGCUCAACCUGGGAAUUGCAGUGGAUACUGGAUCACUAGAGUGUGGUAGAGGAUAGUGGAAUUUCCGGUGUAGCAGUGAAAUGCGUAGAGAUCGGAAGGAACAUCUGUGGCGAAGGCGACUAUCUGGGCCAACACUGACACUGAGGCACGAAAGCGUGGGGAGCAAACAGGAUUAGAGACCCGAGUAGUCCCUGUCUCUUAUAC
rnacentral:rRNA from 1 species